CAGCAGUAGCCGCGGUAAUACGAAGGGGGCUAGCGUUGCUCGGAAUUACUGGGCGUAAAGGGAGCGUAGGCGGACAUUUAAGUCAGGGGUGAAAUCCCAGAGCUCAACUCUGGAACUGCCUUUGAUACUGGGUGUCUUGAGUGUGAUAGAGGUAUGUGGAACUCCGAGUGUAGAGGUGAAAUUCGUAGAUAUUCGGAAGAACACCAGUGGCGAAGGCGACAUACUGGAUCAUUACUGACGCUGAGGCUCGAAAGCGUGGGGAGCAAACAGGAUUAGAUACCCCUGUAGUCCCUGUCUCUUAUAC
rnacentral:rRNA from 1 species